GGAAACAACCGACAAAUUCAUGAAGCCAGAAUAUCAGGCUGAGUUCCGAAGCUUUAGAAAAGAUGAGAUGUCACUAAAUCCUGCACCCACAGUAUUUUAGAGGGUCAUGACAGAAAUAAAAUCUUUUUACAUGCGAUGAAUAUGCACAAAUUGCUGACACUUUCUUUUUCAUGCACUCAUCUUGAUAUCAGUAGCUUAUGUUCCUCAAUCAAGAAGAGCAAAGGAGUGGAAUAUGUUAGCUCUAUACAUAUAAAAUUCAUGGAUUUUAUAUAAUUCAUGGAAUAUGAGUAAAAAGUUAAGCCAUGCUUAGUUAAUUGAAAUUCAUGGAUUUUGUUUGUUUCUUUUUUUUUUAGGAAACAGGAGAAGCCCAGAGACCUCUACCAUUUGUUUGUUUCUUUGCGCAUGAAUUUUUAAGUAACUACGAAAAACAGAUACUGCCUGCACAACUGAUCAUCAAAGAAUCUCUAUUCCUUAUUUUUCUCCUAGUACUUUGGUGAGAAGCAACCCCUCUUGAAUGACAGAAAAAGAGCAAAAAAGAAAUACCAGUUUUGGGUUUCACUGCACUAGAAGCAACCAGGC
rnacentral:lncRNA from 1 species